GGGGGGGGGGGGGGGGGGGCGGGGGGGGGGGGGGGGGGGCGGGGGGGGCGGGGGUGGGGGGGGGGCGCGAGGGGCGGGGGGGGGAGGGGCACGGGAGGGGGCUGCCCUGGGCGUGGGGGUGGCUGCGGGCACCUGGGGCCAAUGCCGGAUAGGGGCUCCUGGUGCGUGGUGGGGGGUGGGCAGUCUCGGCGGUUGGGGAGGGACUCGCGGCUUAUCAGCUUUUUGGUGGGGUAGUGGCUUACCAAGGCUUGGACGGGGAGCCGGCCUGAGGGGGUGACCGGCCACAUUGGGACUGAGAUACGGCCCAGACUCCUACGGGAGGCAGCAGUGGGGAAUAUUGCACAAUGGGCGGAAGCCUGAUGCAGCAACGCCGCGUGCGGGAUGACGGCCUUCGGGUUGUAAACCGCUUUCGCCUGUGACGAAGCGUGAGUGACGGUAAUGGGUAAAGAAGCACCGGCUAACUACGUG
rnacentral:rRNA from 1 species